AAAAAUUUAGUUAAAAAAUAACGUUAGUUUGUCAUACUAAAAUUAUUAAAAAUAAUAAUUUUUU
rnacentral:tRNA from 1 species